rnacentral:lncRNA from 1 species
AAUCAUCUCCCAUUGAAAGCUGAAUCAUGAGGAUACCAUCUCCAAGCAGGUGGAGUAUUUGAUCCCUUUAGCAAGGCAGUGAUUUUGAAAUUCGGGUUUAGACAAAAAGAUAUUUCAAGCUCCUGAAGAACAAGUUUGAAGGAUUCAGAGCAGAGAAUUGCACCCUGGCAUGAUGCCUAUGCCAGCUGGACUGUGUGAUUUUUGUUCUUUAGUAGAAGGAUAACAUGACAUAGCAGGAAUAAUACUGCCUUUUCUUUCUGGCAUGGAUCAAGAGAAAAGAAAAUACAAGAAAACAGACAGAAGCAAGGCAAGGUACUUCUAUGGAAGGGUGAGCCCUCACAGAUGGAGCAAUGGGGCGCGCACACCUGAACAAGGGAGGGGAAGGAGUUCUUAUCCCUGAUGCAUGUGACCCCUGCUGCUGUGUCCUUCCCCUAUUGGCUAAGGUUAGACCACACAGCCUAAACUAAUUCCGAUUGGCUAAUUCAAAGAGAGCGACGGGGGCUUCUGACAGCUUUGGAGAUUGUGACAUUGGAAUAAAGGAAAAACGUACAGGACUCAUGAAGCGCUGAAAUGUUCACAAAUAUCAAGCAAAAGUCAAUGAAAUUUAUUUUGAGCUAUUUACAUCAUUUAAUAAUUGAGCAAGGUAUACUCCUAUGAACAAAAUUUGGAGCAUGUUUGUCUCUCUCUGCCUGGCGUCUUCAGAAUUUGGAAACUAGUUAUGGUUUAUAAUCAGCUAUAGAAUUUUAACACGUGCUCUCAAAUGCAAGUUUCUGAUAACUUUGGAGAUUGUGACAUUGGAAUAAAGGAAGAGCUGGAAUGUUCAUGAAUAUCAAGCAAAAGUCAUGGAAAUUUAUUUUGAGCUAUUUACAGCAUUUAAUAAUUGAGCAAGGUAUACUCCUAUGAACAAAAUUUGGAGCAUGUUUGUCUCUCUCUGUCUGCCUGGCAUCUACAGAAUUUGGAAACUAGUUGUGCUGUACUGCAUGAGAAUGCCUGCAUUUAGUAUGCGAACUGGAAUUGGCAAAGGACGAUGGCUGCUCUCCCGCUAACUUUAAAUAAGUCAUGUCACAAAUUGCAUUCGUUCCCAGAUUUCCUAAACUUUCCAGAGAAAAUGGUCUUCUCCCUGGCUCAGCAAGAAGAUGAACUUUAAACACUGAGAAACUGGUCAUCUCCCUGGCUCAACCAGAAGAUGAACUUUAAACACUACUCUCAAUGACUUGAUGUUCCCAUCACUACUCCUGUCAUAAAGGGAGGGGACUCAGAUAUUGAGAAUUUUAUGAUAGUGUGAACUGUCUGGUAUGUCAUUUAAGUAAGCCCGUUGCUGAAAUAUUUUCCAUGUUAUUAGAAAGAGCUGAAGAGAGGGAUUGAGAUGGCUUCUUUAUUUUUUGUCUUUUGGGAAUUAAAGGAACCUGGUUCAACAAGGGCCUACACCUAAGUCUCUUGUUGUACCAGAGUACAAUUUAGGACUGCUCCUGAGGAAGGAAUUAGCUAGAAAUCUAGAGAGUAAGGGUAACAGAUUUACAUAGAAUAACAGCCUCAGUAUUUUUGGUUCCUCUCCAGUAAAGAUCACAAAGAAUAUUGCUAAAUCGCUAAAACACCUUUGCAAUAACGUAAGGGCUUACAACUAUAUACCAAUGUAGCUCAGUUACUAAACUGGAGUAAACUAAUUUCUCUUGUGUAGAAAAAUUGGUUGGCUGUGGUUUUAUAGCAGAUCUGCAAUUAUUAAUAGUUAUGCCAAUAAUCGUUUAACAGUGCAUAUGUUAAUAUAUAUGGAAAGACAAUGUGUAUAGACAGAUGUGUAAAAUUGAAAAAUAAACAUAUAACAAGAGAGAAACAUCUAUCGAACAGACAAUAUACAUACACAUCAAACACAACAGCAGUUUUAGUGACCAUAAUAUUUAUUUCUCAUUUUUACAUUGCUUACUUUAGUGACAACUGAAAAUGACAGUUGGCAAUGCAGCUAACAGUUUCAAUAAAAGUAUAAAACAAAAGACUGUGUACAAAGCACCUGUCUUUCCGCUUUUGUAAUCUUCCGUUGGAAAAAAUUUACACACCUAAGUAACCAUCUGUUUUCUUCAAGAAAAAAUCAUUCUUAUUUCUCUCUCUCAUCUUGAAAACAGCUGUCAGCCAGGAGGGCAGAGCUGAAAUUUAUUGCCACAUCACAUGAAGCAUAGAACAGACUCCACUACUCCUUGAGAUUCAAAACUUUGCCUCUCACAAAGUUACCUUUUAUUUUCCUCUUGUUUGUCACUCAUCUCCCCUAGUGUGCUCUUUUUAUUUCUUUUACUAUUAAUAAUAAAAUCUGUGGAUGACUGUAUUAUUGAA